AAUACUUGUCGCUUUGAUUUUGUUUGUAACUUUUGAUCAUUCGUCUUAUUCAAAAAAUUAUAGAAUUAUUAUUUAUUUUAUUUAUGACUUUCUUUAUUAUCAAAAGUACUUUAAGUAUGACUUAUCAUUUUUUAUAUUUGCACUAAUUUUUCAAAUAAGACGAAUGGUCAAACGUUGCAUAAAAAAGUCAAAGUGACCACUAAUU
rfam:Oryza glaberrima chromosome 11 Oglab11_0176_14, whole genome shotgun sequence.